GUCUCGGAAGUGUAAGGGAUAGAGCGCGGUGCUUGGAAAGCACAAGUACGGGUUCCAAUCCCGUCCGAGACU
rfam:Haemonchus placei strain MHpl1 genome assembly, scaffold: HPLM_contig0014249